rnacentral:lncRNA from 1 species
GACAUUUUGCUUAUCUUUCAAGGUAUAUAUUGGGUGGAGGAGCAUUGUGUAUGGAACCUCUCACAAAACAGCUCCUACUUUCAAGAAUGAAAAAGGGCUGAAGCAGUGCCUACUCGAUAGAAUCAGUCAUCAUGCAAAUAAAUGCCACCUGAGUCAAAGGCAAAGCCAGUGUGCAGCUUUGAGCAAAGAAGUUAAAAGAAUAUUGGCAGAGGAAGAGCCCUGGCAUUCCAGCAGGAGUUAACAGGAAAAAGAAAAUCAAUGGCAGUAGCCCUGACACAGCCACUACUGGUGGUUACCGCUCACCUGGGGAUGUGAGUCUUGGCUGACCAGGCUCCUGGGGAUGGGGGGGCCCAAGGGGCAGUAGAGGAUAAUUGUUAAGAUUGUGGAUGGACUGUUGGGUACUGGUUAAGAAUUCUGGGUUUGAAUCCUGCCUCUCCGUCUGCUAAUGAUUGAUUAGGGAUUGAUUAAGAUGUGAUUUAGGGCAAGUUGCUUGAGGUCUUCAGGCCUCUUUUUUCACAUCUGUAUAAUUGAGGUGGGAUUUUUUUUACUUCCAUUUGUGAAGUUUAAUGAGAUUUGUUAUUGUUGCUUUUAUGUGAAUCCUUAGUACAUGGCCUGCUGUAAACACACAGGACACCCAGGAAAUGGUCAUUGCUGCUUGAUUUUCCUCAUCCCUAGU